AAUCCUGGCUCAGGAUGAACGCUAGCUACAGGCUUAACACAUGCAAGUCGAGGGGCAGCAUGGACCCAGCUUUGCUGGGUUUGAUGGCGAUCGGCGCACGGGUGAGUAACGCGUAUCCAACCUGCUCUUUACUCCGGGAUAGUCUCCUGAAAGGGAGUUUAAUACCGGAUGUGUUUGUCUUUCCGCAUGGGAGCGACAAAUAAAGAUUAAUUGGUAAAGGAUGGGGAUGCGUCCCAUUAGCUUGUUGG
rnacentral:rRNA from 1 species